AAGUCGUAACAAGGUUUCCGUAGGUGAACCUGCGGAAGGAUCAUUAACACGUAUCCAACGUUAAACCACCCUGUGAACCUUUAGUGUGCUCCCUCAUUCUGUUGGAACGUGGCAAUCCCUGGUAAAUCAUCGCCGAACAGUUUUGAUUCAGGGACUUCUGCAAAGAGUGCUGGUUGUAGCGCGAGGCAAGUGGCCUGCUAGAGGCCGACACGGCCGGCGACCGGGUCACCGGGCUCACGCCCCCCUAUCACCCCUUUGCAUGAAAACGGGCCUGCGCUUAAUUGUGCGGCCAUAAACCGAACAACUGUUAACAAUGGAUAUCUUGGUUCUC
rnacentral:misc_RNA from 1 species